rnacentral:rRNA from 1 species
UACAGAGGUCCCAAGCGUUGUUCGGAUUCAUUGGGCGUAAAGGGUGCGUAGGUGGCGCUGUAAGUCGGGUGUGAAAUUUCGGAGCUUAACUCCGAAACUGCAUUCGAUACUGCGGUGCUCGAGGACUGGAGAGGAGACUGGAAUUCAUGGUGUAGCAGUGAAAUGCGUAGAUAUGCGGAGGAACACCGAUGGCGAAGGCAAUCCCCUGGACCUGUACUGACGCUCAUGCACGAAAGCGUGGGGAGCAAACAGG